UACAAAUCAAAAUCCCACAAAGCAAUUUGACAAACCUACAAGCAACCCUCCUACGCUUCAGCUGGAGCGGAAAACACCCCAGAGUCCCUAAAGUCCUGCUCUUCAGACACGUAAAACAUGGAGGCAUGGGAUUCCCAAACCUAAAAUCAUACUAUCACUCGGCCCUCCUCACGGAUGUCAUUAGCGCAUACUCAACGGUACACACCCCCAAUGGGUGGCAAUGGAAAGCCAGUUCUGCAACAACAAAGA